rnacentral:rRNA from 1 species
UACGUAGGGUGCAAGCGUUAAUCGGAAUUACUGGGCGUAAAGCGUGCGCAGGCGGUUUGGCAAGACAGAUGUGAAAUCCCCGGGCUCAACCUGGGAAUUGCAUUUGUGACUGCACGGCUAGAGUGUGUCAGAGGGGGGUAGAAUUCCACGUGUAGCAGUGAAAUGCGUAGAGAUGUGGAGGAAUACCGAUGGCGAAGGCAGCCCCCUGGGAUAACACUGACGCUCAUGCACGAAAGCGUGGGGAGCAAACAGG